AUGAGAAGAGGAGACCUACACGAGUGCCGCGCCGCGGGUUGCAGGAUUGAGCCGAGGACAGAGCUAUGCACGUUGUCCCAUGACCUACCCGGGCUGCCUGCCAUUAAAGGGGCGCAAUAUAAGAGGUGGCGCACGAUAGCAGUCUACUUGUUUCAGACCAUGGGCUGCUAUGACGCCACCAAGGGCAAGCCUGAGGGCGAUCUUAAUCCAGCACAGCUGGAAGCUUUUGAGAAGAUCGAUUCGUAUAUCUCAUUUUACAAUGGCAAGGACAUGUGGGCUGCGCUCGAGGCCAAGUUUGGUGCCUCGGACGCCGGCGGCGAGUUGUACGUCAUGGAGCAAUUCUAUGACUACAAGAUGACUGAUGAGCGCCUUGUUGUACAGCAGGCUAAUGAGAUACAGUCACUCGCAAAAGAACUUGAUUACUUCAAGUGUGUGUUGCCGGAGGCAUCAUUGCCAAGCUUCCACCUUCGUGGAAUAAUUUUUCUACUUCCCUGA
rnacentral:rRNA from 1 species